AGUGGCGGACGGGUGAGUAACGCGUGAGAAUCUGCCUUGGGGUCGGGGACAACCACUGGAAACGGUGGCUAAUACCGGAUAAGCCGAUUGGUGAAAGAUUUAUUGCCCGAAGAGGAGCUCGCGUCUGAUUAGCUAGUUGGUGAGGUAAGAGCUCACCAAGGCAGCGAUCAGUAGCUGGUCUGAGAGGACGAUGAGCCACACUGGGACUGAGACACGGCCCAGACUCCUACGGGAGGCAGCAGUGGGGAAUUUUCCGCAAUGGGCGAAAGCCUGACGGAGCAAGACCGCGUGAGGGAGGAAGGCUCUUGGGUUGUAAACCUCUUUUCUCAGGGAAGAAGCUCUGACGGUACCUGAGGAAUCAGCCUCGGCUAACUCCGUGCCAGCAGCCGCGGUAAUACGGAGGAGGCAAGCGGUAUCCGGAAUUAUUGGGCGUAAAGCGUCCGCAGGUGGCGAUUCAAGUCUGCUGUCAAAGCACGGGGCUUAACUCCGUAAAGGCAGUGGAAACUGAAUAGCUAGAGUGCCGUAGGGGUAGAGGGAAUUCCCGGUGUAGCGGUGAAAUGCGUAGAGAUCGGGAAGAACAUCGGUGGCGAAAGCGCUCUACUGGACGGCAAACUGACACUCAGGGACGAAAGCUAGGGGAGCGAAUGGGAUUAGAUACCCC
rnacentral:rRNA from 1 species